UGGGGAAUCUUGCACAAUGGGGGCAACCCUGAUGCAGCGACGCCGCGUGAGCGAUGAAGCCCUUCGGGGCGUAAAGCUCUUUCGACCGGAACGAUAAUGACGGUACCGGGAGAAGAAGCUGCGGCUAACUACGUGCCAGCAGCCGCGGUAAUACGUAGGCAGCAAGCGUUGUUCGGAGUUACUGGGCGUAAAGAGUGCGUAGGCGGUUUUCUAAGUUCGGUGUGAAAUCUCCCGGCUUAACUGGGAGGGUGCGCCGAAGACUGGGAAGCUGGAGUGUGGGAGAGGCAGGCGGAAUUCCUGGUGUAGCGGGGAAAUGCGUAGAUAUCAGGAGGAACACCGGCGGUGUAGACGGCUUGCUAGACCAUAACUGACGCUGAGGCACGAAAGCGUGGGUAGCAAACA
rnacentral:rRNA from 1 species